GAUCAUUACCGAGUGCGGGUCCUUUGGGCCCAACCUCCCAUCCGUGUCUAUUGUACCCUGUUGCUUCGGCGGGCCCGCCGCUUGUCGGCCGCCGGGGGGGCGCCUCUGCCCCCCGGGCCCGUGCCCGCCGGAGACCCCAACACGAACACUGUCUGAAAGCGUGCAGUCUGAGUUGAUUGAAUGCAAUCAGUUAAAACUUUCAACAAUGGAUCUCUUGGUUCCGGCAUCGAUGAAGAACGCAGCGAAAUGCGAUAACUAAUGUGAAUUGCAGAAUUCAGUGAAUCAUCGAGUCUUUGAACGCACAUUGCGCCCCCUGGUAUUCCGGGGGGCAUGCCUGUCCGAGCGUCAUUGCUGCCCUCAAGCCCGGCUUGUGUGUUGGGUCGCCGUCCCCCUCUCCGGGGGGACGGGCCCGAAAGGCAGCGGCGGCACCGCGUCCGAUCCUCGAGCGUAUGGGGCUUUGUCACAUGCUCUGUAGGAUUGGCCGGCGCCUGCCGACGUUUUCCAACCAUUCUUUCCAGGUUGACCUCGGAUCAGGUAGGGAUACCCGCUGAACUUAAGCAUAUCAAUAAGCGGAGGAAAAGAAACCAACCGGGAUUGCCUCAGUAACGGCGAGUGAAGCGGCAAGAGCUCAAAUUUGAAAGCUGGCUCCUUCGGAGUCCGCAUUGUAAUUUGCAGAGGAUGCUUUGGGUGCGGCCCCCGUCUAAGUGCCCUGGAACGGGCCGUCAGAGAGGGUGAGAAUCCCGUCUUGGGCGGGGUGUCCGUGCCCGUGUAAAGCUCCUUCGACGAGUCGAGUUGUUUGGGAAUGCAGCUCUAAAUGGGUGGUAAAUUUCAUCUAAAGCUAAAUACUGGCCGGAGACCGAUAGCGCACAAGUAGAGUGAUCGAAAGAUGAAAAGCACUUUGAAAAGAGAGUUAAACAGCACGUGAAAUUGUUGAAAGGGAAGCGCUUGCGACCAGACUCGCCCGCGGGGUUCAGCCGGCAUUCGUGCCGGUGUACUUCCCCGUGGGCGGGCCAGCGUCGGUUUGGGCGGCCGGUCAAAGGCCCCUGGAAUGUAGUGCCCUCCGGGGCACCUUAUAGCCAGGGGUGCAAUGCGGCCAGCCUGGACCGAGGAACGCGCU
rnacentral:rRNA from 11 species